UGUCGAUGUUUACUCCCCUUUCCCGAAACGACUCGGUCACAAAAAUUGUGUGUGUGUGUGGGGGGGGGGAGGUUUUGCAAUUAUUAAUUUUGCUCUUUUUUUUUCCCUCAUCACCUCAGACCUGGCGUUUGAAGACUUUUUAUGUCCGUAGGACUCCCCGUUGCCUCUCACUGUCUGGACCACCUCAUUGUGGAAGGCCCCCACGUCAACACGGUCAACUAGGAUUGUCCUCACUGCAACCAUCCGCAUCUGGCGUCAAUUUACCGAGGAGCAGCGAGGAGUCCCGUCCGAGUCGCAGCUCUUUUGCGAGACGUCCCGCUGGCUGCCGGCCAGCAUGGCCGCACGAAGAAACGAUGGGAUGUCAUAACCCCCCCACCCCCACCCCUGCACCACCACGGUUUGAAGACAUCCCCUCCUGGACAACAUGCAGUCAGCUUCAUGUCGCAAUAACAAGGUUACACUGUGUGUGUGUGUGUGUGUGGUGACACUUCUGGGAGUCGGCGUGAGGUUGGCGAUGCUGACACAGAAAUGAUGGAUGGAUGGACGGACGCAUGGAAAUUCUUCUUCUUCCCAAAAGUCGUCCCCGGCUGCCAUCCCGCGCGGAGGACUCGGCCACUUACAUUCACAGGCCGUGACAGGGGAUUCUGCAUUGACCCACCAAGGGAGGACCUGAAGAGAACCGCUUCCCCCUGUCACAGUAAAAACAACGCCUGCCGGAACCCGGUUGGAAAACCCGGAGAUAGACGAGGAGAACCGAAAAAGAGCAGAAACCGACAAGAUUUAAAACAUCUGUUUGGACCUAGUUCUGGAACCCAGGCGAGUAGAACUGUUGACGCAAACGACCUCCAUUGUUUUCUUCAUUUCCCUGUCGCCGGAAUGUGUCUCAAUACUUUUGAUCGCGUGGUGGCUGUCGAUGGAGUGCAGAUGCGCGAUUAAAUGAUGCUAGCAUCAUUUGUCUUUGUGGUAGCAAUGAGCCCCACUGAUUUGACAGGGAAAGUGCGACCGCAGAAUGAAAAAAACAA